GACGAACGCUGGCGGCGUGCCUAAUACAUGCAAGUUGAGCGAUGAAGAUUGGUGCUUGCCCCAAUUUGAAGAGCAGCGAACGGGUGAGUAACGCGUGGGGAAUCUGCCUUUGAGCGGGGGACAACAUUUGGAAACGAAUGCUAAUACCGCAUAAUAACUUUAAACAUAAGUUUUAAGUUUGAAAGAUGCAAUUGCAUCACUCAAAGAUGAUCCCGCGUUGUAUUAGCUAGUUGGUGAGGUAAAGGCUCACCAAGGCGAUGAUACAUAGCCGACCUGAGAGGGUGAUCGGCCACAUUGGGACUGGGACACGGCCCAAACUCCUACGGGAGGCAGCAGUAGGGAAUCUUCGGCAAUGGACGAAAGUCUGACCGAGCAACGACGCGUGAGUGAAGAAGGUUUUCGGAUCGUAAAACUCUGUUGGUAGGGAAGAACGUUGGUGAGAGUGGAAAGCUCAUCAAGUGACGGUAACUACCCAGAAAGGGACGGCUAACUACGUG
rnacentral:rRNA from 1 species